GCACGCCUGUCGGGACCCGAAAGAUGGUGAACUAUGCCUGAGCGGGGCGAAGCCAGAGGAAACUCUGGUGGAGGCUCGAAGCGAUACUGACGUGCAAAUCGUUCGUCUGCCUGGGGUAUAGGGGCGAAAGACUAAUCGAACCAUCUAGUAGCUGGUUCCCUCCGAAGUUUCCCUCAGGAUAGCUGGAGCCCAUUACGAGUUCUAUCAGG
rnacentral:ncRNA from 1 species